CACGUAGGGGGCGAGCGUUGUCCGGAUUUAUUGGGCGUAAAGCGCUCGUAGGCGGCUCAGUAAGUCGGGUGUGAAAACUCCAGGCUCAACCUGGAGACGCCACCCGAUACUGCUGUGGCUAGAGUCCGGUAGGGGAGCAUGGAAUUCCUGGUGUAGCGGUGAAAUGCGCAGAUAUCAGGAGGAACACCAGUGGCGAAGGCGGUGCUCUGGGCCGGAACUGACGCUGAGGUGCGAAAGCGUGGGGAGCAAACAGG
rnacentral:rRNA from 1 species